rnacentral:rRNA from 1 species
UACGUAGGGGACGAGCGUUGUCCGGAAUUACUGGGCGUAAAGGGCGCGCAGGCGGUAUAUCAAGUCAGCUGUCAAAGACUGGGGCUCAACCCUGGUAUGCGGUUGAAACUGAUGUACUGGAGUGCUGUAGAGGCAAGUGGAAUUCCCAGUGUAGCGGUGAAAUGCGUAGAUAUUGGGAAGAACACCGGUGGCGAAGGCGACUUGCUGGGCAGCAACUGACGCUAAGGCGCGAAAGCCAGGGGAGCAAACGGGAUUAGAUA